GGUUAAGUUAGAAAGGGCGCACGGUGGAUGCCUUGGCACUAGGAGCCGAAGAAGGACGGGACUAACACCGAUAUGCUUUGGGGAGCUGUACGUAAGCGUUGAUCCAGAGAUUUCCGAAUGGGGGAACCCACUAUCUUUAGUCGGAUAGUAUCCUUACGUGAAUACAUAGCGUGAGGAAGGCAGACCCAGGGAACUGAAACAUCUAAGUACCUGGAGGAAGAGAAAGAAAAAUCGAUUUCCUGAGUAGCGGCGAGCGAAACGGAAAGAGCCCAAACCAAGAAGCUUGCUUCUUGGGGUUGUAGGACACUCUAUACGGAGUUACAAAAGAAAGUUAUAAAUGAAGCGGUCUGGAAAGGCCCGCCAAAGACGGUAACAGCCCGGUAGUUGAAAUAGCUUUCCCUCCAGAGUGGAUCCUGAGUACGGCGGAACACGUGAAAUUCCGUCGGAAUCCGGGAGGACCAUCUCCCAAGGCUAAAUACUCCCUAGUGACCGAUAGUGAACCAGUACCGUGAGGGAAAGGUGAAAAGCACCCCGGAAGGGGAGUGAAACAGUUCCUGAAACCGUGUGCCUACAAGUAGUUAGAGCCCGUUAAUGGGUGAUAGCGUGCCUUUUGUAGAAUGAACCGGCGAGUUACGAUUUGUUGCAAGGUUAAGCGGAAAAAGCGGAGCCGUAGCGAAAGCGAGUCUGAAUAGGGCGCAUAAGUAACAGGUCGUAGACCCGAAACCAGGUGAUCUACCCAUGUCCAGGAUGAAGGUAAGGUAAUACUUACUGGAGGUCCGAACCCACGCACGUUGAAAAGUGCGGGGAUGAGGUGUGGGUAGCGGAGAAAUUCCAAUCGAACUUGGAGAUAGCUGGUUCUCUCCGAAAUAGCUUUAGGGCUAGCCUCGAGGUAAAGAGUCAUGGAGGUAGAGCACUGUUUGGACUAGGGGCCCUUCUCGGGUUACCGAAUUCAGAUAAACUCCGAAUGCCAUGUACUUAUACUCGGGAGUCAGACUGCGAGUGAUAAGAUCCGUAGUCGAAAGGGAAACAGCCCAGACCACCAGUUAAGGUCCCCAAAUAUAUGUUAAGUGGAAAAGGAUGUGGGGUUGCUUAGACAACCAGGAUGUUGGCUUAGAAGCAGCCACCAUUGAAAGAGUGCGUAAUAGCUCACUGGUCGAGUGACCCCGCGCCGAAAAUGUACCGGGGCUAAACAUAUUACCGAAACUGUGGAUGAACCUCUUUAGAGGUUCGUGGUAGGAGAGCGUUCUAAGGGCGGUGAAGUCAGACCGGAAGGACUGGUGGAGCGCUUAGAAGUGAGAAUGCCGGUAUGAGUAGCGAAAGAAGGGUGAGAAUCCCUUCCACCGAAUAUCUAAGGUUUCCUGAGGAAGGCUCGUCCGCUCAGGGUUAGUCGGGACCUAAGCCGAGGCCGAUAGGCGUAGGCGAUGGACAACAGGUAGAGAUUCCUGUACCAGUGCUAAUUGUUUAACCGAUGGGGUGACACAGAAGGAUAGGGAAUCGCACGAAUGGAAAUGUGCGUCCAAGCAGUGAGUGUGAGAAGUAGGCAAAUCCGCUUCUCGCGAAGCAUGAGCUGUGAUGGGGAAGGAAAUUAAGUACGGAAGUUCCUGAUUUCACGCUGUCAAGAAAAGCCUCUAGGAAGAGUAGUACUGCCCGUACCGCAAACCGACACAGGUAGAUGAGGAGAGAAUCCUAAGGUGAGCGAGAGAACUCUCGUUAAGGAACUCGGCAAAAUGACCCCGUAACUUCGGGAGAAGGGGUGCUCUAUUAGGGUGCAAGCCCGAGAGAGCCGCAGUGAAUAGGCCCAGGCGACUGUUUAGCAAAAACACAGGUCUCUGCAAAACCGUAAGGUGACGUAUAGGGGCUGACGCCUGCCCGGUGCUGGAAGGUUAAGAGGAGUGCUUAGCUUCGGCGAAGGUACGAAUUGAAGCCCCAGUAAACGGCGGCCGUAACUAUAACGGUCCUAAGGUAGCGAAAUUCCUUGUCGGGUAAGUUCCGACCCGCACGAAAGGCGCAACGAUCUGGGCACUGUCUCAACGAGAGACUCGGUGAAAUUAUAGUACCUGUGAAGAUGCAGGUUACCCGCGACAGGACGGAAAGACCCCGUGGAGCUUUACUGCAACCUGAUAUGGAAUGUUUGUACCGCUUGUACAGGAUAGGUAGGAGCCGAAGAGACGU
rnacentral:rRNA from 1 species